AUACGGAGGAUGCAAGCGUUAUCCGGAUUUAUUGGGUUUAAAGGGUGCGUAGGCUGUUCGGAAAGUCAGGGGUGAAAGCCCGGCGCCUAACGCCGGAACUGCCUUUGAUACUUCCGAGCUGGAAUACGGAUGCCGUGGGAGGAAUGAGUAGUGUAGCGGUGAAAUGCAUAGAUAUUACUCAGAACACCGAUUGCGAAGGCAUCUCACGAAUCCGUCAUUGACGCUGAGGCACGAAAGCGUGGGGAUCAAACAGGAUUAGAUACCCUGGUAGUCCACGCAGUAAACGAUGAUGACUAACCGUCGGCGAUACACAGUCGGUGGCCAAGCGAAAGCGAUAAGUCAUCCACCUGGGGAGUACGUUCGCAAGAAUGAAACUCAAAGGAAUUGGCGGGG
rnacentral:rRNA from 1 species